rnacentral:rRNA from 1 species
GAUGAACGCUGGCGGCGUGCCUAAUACAUGCAAGUCGAGCGAACGGACGAGAAGCUUGCUUCUCUGAUGUUAGCGGCGGACGGGUGAGUAACACGUGGAUAACCUACCUAUAAGACUGGGGUAACUUCGGGAAACCGGAGCUAAUACCGGAUAAUAUUUUGAACCGCAUGGUUCAAAAGUUAAAGACGGUCUUGCUGUCACUUAUAGAUGGAUCCGCGCUGCAUUAGCUAGUUGGUAAGGUAACGGCUUACCAAGGCAACGAUGCAUAGCCGACCUGAGAGGGUGAUCGGCCACACUGGAACUGAGACGCGGACCAAACUCCUGCGGGAGACGGCAGUAGGGAAUCUUCCGCAAGGGGCGAAAGCGUGACGGAGCAACGCCGCGUGAGUGAUGAAGGUCUUCGGAUCGUAAAACUCUGUUAUUAGAGAAGAACAUAUGUGUAAGAAACUGUGCACAUCUUGAAGGUACCGAAGCAGAAAGCCACGGCUAACUACGU